CCACCCUGUAUUACUCUCUCUUUAUUGUUAUUGUGUUUCUUUAGUAUGUGACGUAUCAGCAAGCGGUUUAUUCUUUGCAUUGCCUAUGCAUUACGUAUUGUAUUUUACAUUUUGUAUAUGUAUGUAAUUACAUAUGUGGUUUGCGAUCUCUCGAUACAAUUGAGUGGAAAUGUGUCUUCUUUAUAUUUUAUUUGUGGUUAUGAGCGAUAGAAAGAGCAUAGUAAUGGGCGGAUGCGGAUUAACAAUAGUAGAAGUAAAACGUUGCGGUUAAAAGCUCAAUAUUCUUGAAGUGUGACCAUAUUUGAUUAGAUGCACUUAAGGUAAACAUGUUCGACUCAAUAAGGCCUUGAUAAUUGAUGUUGCGAUUGAUUGCUCAACAAUGUUGCGACAACACUGCUGCAGUAAAGGUAAACAUACUUGCAACAUGUUUGAUCAAGAAGUUUUGUUACGCUGUCUGUCAAAUAACAUAUCCAAUUAAGAAACCAAAAUAAACCAAGCAACAAAUACUGAAAUAAAAGUAACAAAACAAAAAAAAAUAAAAACAAAAGGAACUCUUAGACCGACAUCCAAUUAUGGCAACUAGUUAGACUUGCUUACAACGCACUCACACACGCACACACACACAUGCGUGCCAAUUGGCCAUUACUGUUGCUUGACCGCCGUCUGCAUUCGCCUGUCAAUUAAAAAUGCUUGCAAAUUCUUGUUUUGCUCGUUUUGUUUGUUGUCGUUUCUAUGCAUUGCCUUCUUUUCUUCUUAUCUCUCUUUACUCUGCAUUUAGUCAGCCCACGCAGUUACCAAUUCGUAUAAAAAAACUUCAAUUCAAUUCAUUUCUCUUUCCGUUUCAUCACUUUGCUUUGUUGCUGCGGCUGCAAAAUUCCAUUCCGAAA